GACGAACGCUGGCGGCGUGCUUAACACAUGCAAGUCGAACGAGACGAUUGAAAGCUUGCUUUCGAAAGUCGAGUGGCAAACGGGUGAGUAACGCGUAGACAACCUGCCUUUGAGAUGGGGACAACAGUUCGAAAGGACUGCUAAUACCGAAUGUUGUAUAUUUUCCACAUGGAAGAUAUAUUAAAGAUGGCCUCUAUUUAUAAGCUAUCGCUCAAAGAUGGGUCUGCGUCGGAUUAGCUGGUUGGUGGGGUAACGGCCUACCAAGGCGACGAGCAGUAGCCGGUCUGAGAGGAUGAACGGCCACAUUGGGACUGAGACACGGCCCAGACUCCUACGGGAGGCAGCAGUGGGGAAUCUUCCACAAUGGACGAAAGUCUGAUGGAGCAACGCCGCGUGAGUGAAGAAGGGUUUCGGCUCGUAAAGCUCUGUUGUCGGGGACGAAUGUGCAGUAUUUGAAUAAAGUACUGUAAUGACGGUACCUGACGAGGAAGCCACGGCUAACUACGUGCCAGCAGCCGCCGUAA
rnacentral:rRNA from 1 species